AUCCCACAUCAGGCUCCCCGUGGGGAGCCUGCUUCUCCCUCUGCCUGUGUCUCUGCCUCUCUCUGUGUCUCUCAUGAAUAAAUAAAUAAAACCUUUUAAAAAAGGAAGGAGGGGAGCCUGGAGGGAGGGGUGGGCAGGGAAGGAGGUACCACAGGCCACAUUCUCUGAGUGUCUCAUCUGGAAGAGACAGGCAGAGGUCUUGGAGUUCAGGCCUCUCCACUGAGCUUGAAGCCAGGGCCUUUCUGCUUGAUC
rnacentral:lncRNA from 1 species